AACGAACGCUGGCGGCAUGCCUAACACAUGCAAGUCGAACGAGACCUUCGGGUCUAGUGGCGCACGGGUGCGUAACGCGUGGGAACCUGCCCUCAGGUUCGGAAUAACUCCCCGAAAGGGGUGCUAAUACCGGAUAAUGUCUUCGGACCAAAGAUUUAUCGCCUUUGGAUGGGCCCGCGUUGGAUUCGCUAGUUGGUAGGGUAAAAGCCUACCAAGGCGACGAUCCAUAGCUGGUCUGAGAGGAUGAUCAGCCACUCUGGGACUGAGACACGGCCCAGACUCCUACGGGAGGCAGCAGUGGGUAAUAUUGGACCAUGGGCGAAAGCCUGAUCCAGCAAUGCCGCGUGAGUGAUGAAGGCCUUAGGGUUGUAAAGCUCUUUUACCCGGGAUGAUAAUGACAGUACCGGGAGAAUAAGCUCCGGCUAACUCCGUG
rnacentral:rRNA from 1 species